CGAACAGAGUGAAGCGAGACUGUGAAGUGGAGCAAAUCNCAAAAAGCCGUCUCAGUUCGGAUCGCAGGCUGCAACCCGCCUGCGUGAAGUUGGAAUUGCUAGUAAUCGCGGAUCAGCAAGCCGCGGUGAAUACGUUCCCGGGCCUUGUACACACCGCCCGUCACACCAUGAGAGUCGGGAACACCCGAAGUCCGUAGUCUAACCGCAAGGGGGGCGCGGCCGAAGGUGGGUCCGGUAAUUGGGGUGAAGUCGUAACAAGGUAUC
rnacentral:rRNA from 1 species